AUACGUACCGAGGAAUGUUUAAUGGUUUUACUAUGUAAUAUGAUGUGAAAAUUUUUAUUUUUUUUUCUCUCUGUAAAAUAUAAUUUUGAAAAUACCAAAAAUCUUUCUCCGAUUAUAGCGUAGUUGUAGCAUUUUUUCUGAGAGCAAAUCGCGUUUAGUAGGCGUGCUGAAGAAGCACAGUGUUUGAUUUUCUCUGUAGUUUUUUUAACAAUUAUAAUGGGACAAAUCGAGUAAAUUGUAAUAAAAAAAAAAAAAAAUUUACACAAUACCGGUUUCUGUUAUUUUUAAUAACACCGGACAUAUAUUUUUCAUACUGGCGGUUUUUUU